UACGUAGGGGGCAAGCGUUGUCCGGAUUUAUUGGGCGUAAAGAGCGUGUAGGCGGCCAGGUAGGUCAGCUGUGAAAACUCGAGGCUCAACCUCGAGACGUCGGUUGAAACCACCUGGCUAGAGUCCGGAAGAGGAGAGUGGAAUUUCCGGUGUAGCGGUGAAAUGCGUAGAUAUCGGAAGGAACAUCAGUGGCGAAAGCGGCUUCCUGGACCAGUACCGACGUUCAGGCACGAAAGCGUGGGGAGCAAACAGG
rnacentral:rRNA from 1 species